AACGAACGCUGGCGGCAGGCUUAACACAUGCAAGUCGAACGCCCCGGCAACGGGGAGUGGCAGACGGGUGAGUAACGCGUGGGAAUCUACCCAACUCUACGGAAUAACUCAGGGAAACUUGUGCUAAUACCGUAUACGCCCUUCGGGGGAAAGAUUUAUCGGAGUUGGAUGAGCCCGCGUUGGAUUAGCUAGUUGGUGGGGUAAAGGCCUACCAAGGCGACGAUCCAUAGCUGGUCUGAGAGGAUGAUCAGCCACAUUGGGACUGAGACACGGCCCAAACUCCUACGGGAGGCAGCAGUGGGUAAUAUUGGACAAUGGGCGCAAGCCUGAUCCAGCCAUGCCGCGUGAGUGAUGAAGGCCCUAGGGUUGUAAGGCUCUUUCACCGGUGAAGAUAAUGACGGUAACCGGAGAAGAAGCCCCGGCUAACUUCGUGCCAGCCGCCGCGGUAA
rnacentral:rRNA from 1 species